AAACUUAGGAUAACGCCCCUCAAACCGAAG
rnacentral:tRNA from 1 species